rnacentral:misc_RNA from 1 species
GUGAACGCCCUCACGGGCUUAUACUAUUCCAAACCUCUGUGUACCGUGCCCUUCGGGGCUAUUUUACAAACAUGGUGUAAUGAACGUCAUAUAUCAUAACAAAACA